CCCGCCAGAAGGACGGAAGCAUCAAGUCGCUCGAAUCCUGUGGAGUCAUCGUCGGUGGAAAAUAAAGAUGUAUGGCCCAGUUUGUUGCGGCCGCAGGGUGCGCGCCACUUGCAAAUUUGAAUCGGGCCGGCUUGCAGGUACCCCCGCCAGAAGGACGGAAGCACCAAGUCACUGGAGACCUCAGGAGUCAUUGCCGGUGGAGAAUUGGGGAUGUUUGGCCCAAUUUGUUGCAGUCGCAGGGUGCGCGCAACUUGCAACAUUUGAGUUGGACCAGCGUUGCAGACACUCCGCCAGUUGUCAACAUUGAGGUUCCGAUGUGGAUCCCGCGCAGCCGUUAUUGCGGUCAUUUUAGAGUUGCUGGCAACGUUUGGCGGUGGAGUCUGCCUGAAUUUGGGCAGGAAACUCAUCGCUUUAAGUGGAUUCGUUACGCUCUACGUCUGCCAAUAAGCUGCCAACCCGUUCUCUGGUUUUUUCUCCAGUUGUCAGGAGGGUCCAGUACGCUGUCAGUUCCCGCGCCGCCGUCUCGUUGCA